rnacentral:ncRNA from 2 species
UAUCAGUUUUUCUCUUGUGGUGCUCGAAAGAGCUUAAAAGGGAAUCCCGUUAAAUUCGGGAACGGACCCGCCGCCGUAAGUCCUGUGAAGUUGACCCCCGUGUAUGGUUUAAGCCGUACUAGCGUGCCACUGAAAUUUAUUUCGGGAAGGCCGGGUGAGAUGGGAUGAGUCGGAAGACCUGCCAAAGAAUAACUUGUGCU